UCUGUUGUACUCAACGAGAUUCGUUUUAAUUGUUCUUUACUCGAAUGAGUGUUAUAUAUAAGGAUUACUUGUGAGUGCUAAAAGGAGAAAAAGUUUAAUAAUUAGGGUGCUCGAUGAGGAUUGGGGCCCUCGUGCUUACGUAUCCUCAUAGUGCAUUAAGGAAAUCAAAUCUUCGUAGUUCAAAGUAGAAAAUAAGUGUGUGCUUGUUGUUUU
rnacentral:lncRNA from 1 species